UACGGGGGGAGCAAGCGUUGUUCGGAUUUACUGGGCGUAAAGGGCGCGUAGGCGGCGCAACAAGUCACUUGUGAAAUCUCCGGGCUUAACCCGGAGCGGUCAAGUGAUACUGUCGUGCUAAAGUGCGGAAGGGGCUACUGGAAUUCUCGGUGUAGCGGUGAAAUGCGUAGAUAUCGAGAGGAACACCUGCGGCGAAGGCGGGUAGCUGGGCCGACACUGACGCUGAUGCGCGAAAGCCAGGGGAGCGAACGGG
rnacentral:rRNA from 1 species